rnacentral:rRNA from 1 species
CUACGGGUGGCUCCAGUGGGGAAUAUUGCACAAUGGAGGAAACUCUGAUGCAGCAACGCCGCGUGGAGGAUGACGCAUUUCGGUGUGUAAACUCCUUUUAUAUGGGAAGAUAAUGACGGUACCAUAUGAAUAAGCACCGGCUAACUCCGUGCCAGCAGCCGCGGUAAUACGGAGGGUGCAAGCGUUACUCGGAAUCACUGGGCGUAAAGCGCGCGCAGGCGGGUUUGUAAGUUGGAUGUGAAAUCCUAUGGCUUAACCAUAGAACUGCAUCCAAAACUACUUACCUAGAGUCUGGGAGGGGAAGAUGGAAUUAGUGGUGUAGGGGUAAAAUCCGUAGAGAUCACUAGGAAUACCAAAAGCGAAGGCGAUCUUCUGGAACAGUACUGACGCUGAGGCGCGAAAGCGUGGGGAGCAAACAGGAUUAGAUACCCCUGUAGUC